GGCAUGGAAGGAGGGCUUGGCUGCAAGGAAGGAAAAGCUGAAACAGUCAGGCAGGAAGCAAAGUCUGGCAGCUCAAAGUGUAGUUAAAACAUCAGCCUGCAAUGAUUUCUUACCUCACAAAUAUUUGACAUUGCUUCCCAGGAGGGCAGAUAUGAGAUAUCCUGUGUUGUUUCUGACGAGAGAGGAACUCUGUUCCUGGUUGAAUAAGCUGUGUUUACUUAGAGAGAGAGAAAAAAGAAACUUUUAAAGCCAAAGCUGUAAUUAAAUGUGCAGCAAUUCUGAGAGUAUUCAUACUGGUAAAUGUUAUUGACAUUUCCGUUCUGCUUUUUCCAGCGGAAACAAAUUAUUAAUACGCUAUUGUUCCAAUAAUGAGUUCUUGAUAGACAUAGAAUUUCUUUUUUAUUGUACUGCUUCAGCCCUGAAUCUGUUCUCACAACUGAAAAAUACAGAUAAUUUUGUUUUAGCAUCACUGGCAGUGACAGAUAGAGGAGCACAAUGUGAGAACACCAUGAAAUGUAUGGCAAAGCUGUUCUGGUACCAAGAAACACAAGGCACCUGUGCCAGCUGCCACCUUCCAGUCCCUGGAAUGGCAUGGGAUGAUCUGGGUAGUUGGUUAGAUUUGGAGUUCCAGUUGCUAACUUGGAGCUCCAGGAUCUACUGCCUCUCUGGUGCUUUGGUGUCUCAAGUAUUCUACAAGUAGUUACUACACCUGUCCCCUGAGCAAUUACAGGCUUGCUUUCUCCUUUACUUUAAGGUCCGUGUCCUUUGUUCUCCUGAUGUCGUGGGAAGCAAGAAAUAACAACACAAACUUGCCCUGACUUGAAACCCUUUGGGUUGAAGGCAAAUUGAAACCAUCUUUGUUCCACGAUGCCUUGGCUCCUUUGGAUGGACCAUCUCUUACUGUGUUUCUUUCCAUGUGCUUUGAAAGCCUUCCCCAGAGAUGCCAGAAUAUAUCAGAAAUAAUUACUAGUUUUAAA